AAUAUUGUCGGCAUAGAUGAAUCAAGACGCGGCGACAUUCUGCGUAGAAUUAUAACAGAGCAAUUAUAAAAUAGUAGAUGUUGAAUGUUUGGGAUUAAAUGCAUUGUAAAUAUUGUCUAUGGUUUAUGUAUGUUGAAACAUGUAUGCUUUAUCUAGGUUUUGUUUUUAACGAAUAUGUUACGUUGCUUGCUACUGUGGGAUAAAUGUGGUAAUGUUUUAUUUUUAUAUUCGAUUGGGUGGAUGUGUAAAUCUAUGUGUUAAGUGUUUAAUUCACAUAUUUCAAUGAUUUAGAUUUAUUUUCAUACUAUAUAAUUGGUUGAAUAUUAUAGUAGUAAAUUUGUUUGAUGGAAAAAGUAGAUUUGCUUGAUGAUAUACGUAAAUUUGCUUGAUGCUAAAUAUUGUAAAUUACGU
rnacentral:lncRNA from 1 species